rnacentral:rRNA from 1 species
AGAUUAAGUUAUUAAGGGCGCACGGUGGAUGCCUUGGCACUAGAAGCCGAUGAAGGACGUUACUAACGACGAUAUGCUUUGGGGAGCUGUAAGUAAGCUUUGAUCCAGAGAUUUCCGAAUGGGGAAACCCAGCAUGAGUUAUGUCAUGUUAUCGAUAUGUGAAUACAUAGCAUAUCAGAAGGCACACACGGGGGACUGAAACAUCUUAGUACCCG